rnacentral:rRNA from 1 species
UGUUUCAUUUAAAAUUUAGUUAGAAUUUUAUUUUUUAGUUAAAAAGCUAAAAUAUAUUCAAAAGACGAGAAGACCCUAUAAAUCUUGAUUAUUUAGUAAUUUUUAGUUUAUUUUGAUUUUUUUUAUUAUAAAUUUAUUAAUUAAUUUUAUUGGGGUGAUAUUAAAAUUUAAAUAACUUUUAAUAAUUUUUAUCAUUUAUUUAUGAUUAAGUGAUCCAUUAUUAGUGAUUAAAAAAUUAAGUUACUUUAGGGAUAACAGCGUAAUUUUUUUGGAGAGUUCUUAUCGAUAAAAAAGUUUGCGACCUCGAUGUUGGAUUAAGAUUCAUAUUUAAAUGUAGAAGUUUAAAUAUAAAGUCUGUUCGACUUUUUAUUCUUACAUGAUCUGAGUUCAAACCGGUGUAAGCCAGGUUGGUUUCUAUCUUUGAUUUGGUAAAAUAUUUUAGUACGAAAGGAAUUAAUAUUUAUUUUAAAAAAAUUAAUUUA